AUUAGACGUCCUACAGAAGCAGGCUGGAACCAAUCUUCUCCAACACUAGAUAUUGUCAAAGUUGUUUAUAAGGGCUUAAAUCCAAGUCUAAUCCCGUCAGCUUGUGGAAAUGCUCGGCAUCACCUGAAAAAACUUGUAAAAGAUGAUAAAGUUGAACAUAUAGUUGAAGAAGAUGAAGAAAGAUGGUGUAUUGUGACAUCAAAGUCUAAUAUAUGACAAAUUGAACAAGUAGAACAUCUAAUUGGAUUUUAAUUGCCAAUGGGUGGGAUAUUUUGCCGUGUGGUUGGGAUUUCUUGUCAAGUAUGCAGGAUCUCUCAACUCUCAACUGUGAGAGAACUUUUAUCCUAUUGUGUUUUUUUAUCCAACUGAAUAAGCAGGGCUUUCACUUUAAUAGGCAGGUUUUGUUGUAAAUUUGUGAUAAAGAACAAAGUAAUAUAGAAAGUUAUUGUUUUUAUCAAUUCAUCAAUCUGAAAGAUUUCUCAUAUGUUGAUCAUACUGUUAAUGAAUCUAAUACUAUUAAAUUACUAUACAGUGUUGAGUACAAUAUAGAAUUCUAAUGGAUGUGUACACAGCUGUUUCACCAAUUAAGGUACAGUAGAAGUAUGGUUCUCAGAAAUUGUUUGUAGAAUAUUUAUGAUGAAAGAUUGUUGAAUUUGGAAUUGUUAUAAUAAUUUUUUAUCUACAUUUCAUUCAAAGAUGAGCUUGAUAAACUUUUAUUAUACAUGUCACUCAUACUAUGCAUUACAUUGUAUUAUAUAAAGCAGAUAUGAAUAUCUAUGUAAAGUAUUGCUAUCAAACAAACUAAUGUGGCUUUUAUAUAUGUAGAGCUUUAAUUGUGUCGAAGUUAGAUAAUAUAUUAUAUUUGUAUUUUAUACAUAAAAUGUGUGUGCUAUUAUUAACUAGUAGAUAAAAGUGAAAGUCAGUUAUAAAAUGUUAAUUAUUUAUCACAGUAUAUAAAUGAAAUCACUGUACCCUGUCUAAUGCGAGCCUAUAAAAUUGAAUGUGUACCCCGUCCUUUGAUUACAAGCACAUGUUACUUCCGAUUACUGUUACUUACUUGGGAGCCGAUAUAUUUUAACUUGUACCUUUCUUGGGAUAACAGGAAGUAGACUUGUUUAUAUACUGUGUUUAUACUUAUUAGGAUCUAAAUAGAAUUUUACACAUGUUGUAUUUUGUUAUAGUUUACAAAAUAUAAAAUUUUAACACUUAAGUACCAAGGUAUUUACUUGUAUACAAGUACAUUAUCAAUGUUUUUAAAUUGUUCAUGUUUGUGAUUUUUUGUUACUUUUUUCUCUUGAAAAUACAUGCAUGUAUGAAAAAAAGAUUAUACAUUGUUCAUGCAUAUACAUUUAUACAUAUUUAAUUGUAUCUGUUAAACUUGCUACCGGUACAUUUAAUGUAUUUGUAAUUUUACACAUAUUUGUAAUUUUACACAUAUUUGUAAUUUGUUUAACUUUAACAGACAUAUCUCUAUUGAAAAUAAAGCAAAGUAAAGUAUUUAUUCUAGUCAGAAUUUCGAAAAUAUGAAUAAUGUCAUUGUUUUAUGUUAUUGCAGCAUGUCAUUGGAUGAUUGCAAUAAAA